rnacentral:rRNA from 1 species
AGGGAAUAUUGGACAAUGGGGGCAACCCUGAUCCAGCCAUGCCGCGUGAGUGAAGAAGGCCCUCGGGUUGUAAAGCUCUUUUGUCCGGAAAGAAAAGCUUCGGGUUAAUACCCCGGGGUUCUGACGGUACCGGAAGAAUAAGCACCGGCUAACUUCGUGCCAGCCGCCGCGGUAAUACGAAGGGUGCAAGCGUUACUCGGAAUUACUGGGCGUAAAGCGUGCGUAGGUGGUUGUUUAAGUCUGAUGUGAAAGCCCUGGGCUCAACCUGGGAAUGGCAUUGGAAACUGAGCAGCUAUAGUGCGGUAGAGGGUAGUGGAAUUCCCGGUGUAGCAGUGAAAUGCGUAGAGAUCGGGAGGAACAUCUGUGGCGAAGGCGACUGCCUGGACCAGCACUGACACUGAGGCACGAAAGCGUGG